rnacentral:rRNA from 1 species
CCUACGGGUGGCAGCAGUGGGGAAUAUUGCGCAAUGGGCGAAAGCCUGACGCAGCGACGCCGCGUGAGGGAUGAAGGUCUUCGGAUUGUAAACCUCUGUCAGCAGGGAAGCACGGUCACUGUGCUAAUCAGCAGUGAAUUGACGGUACCUGCAAAGGAAGCACCGGCUAACUCCGUGCCAGCAGCCGCGGUAAUACGGAGGGUGCGAGCGUUAAUCGGAAUUACUGGGCGUAAAGCGCUCGUAGGCGGUAUGUCAAGUCAAGGGGGAAAUCCCCGCGCUCAACGUGGGAACUGCCUUUGAAACUGGCAAACUGGAGUGUGUGAGAGGAUAGUGGAAUUCCAGGUGUAGGAGUGAAAUCCGUAGAUAUCUGGAGGAACAUCAGUGGCGAAGGCGACUAUCUGGCACAUAUCUGACGCUGAGGAGCGAAAGCGUGGGUAGCAAACAGGAUUAGAUACCCGAGUAGUC